UACGUAGGUGGCAAGCGUUAUCCGGAUUUAUUGGGUUUAAAGGGUGCGUAGGCGGUUACAUAAGUCAGUGGUGAAAGACUCCGGCUCAACCGGAGCACUGCCAUUGAUACUGUGUAGCUAGAGUACAGUAGAGGUAGGCGGAAUUUAUGGUGUAGCGGUGAAAUGCAUAGAUACCAUAAAGAACACCGAUUGCGUAGGCAGCUUACUGGACUGUAACUGACGCUGAGGCACGAAAGUGCGGGUAUCAAACAGG
rnacentral:rRNA from 1 species